GGCGUAGGCGGCUCGUUAAGUCAGAUGUGAAAUCUCCCGGCUCAACUGGGAGGGUGCAUUUGAUACUGGCGGUCUAGAGUGCAGCAGAGGAAGAUGGAAUUCCCGGUGUAGUGGUGAAAUGCGUAGAUAUCGGGAAGAACACUAGUGGCGAAGGCGGUCUUCUGGGCUGUAACUGACGCUGAGGUCCGAAGGCGUGGGGAGCAAACAGGAUCAGAUACCCUGGUAAGUCCACGCAGUAAACGAUGGAUACUAGGUAUGGGGAGUAUCGACCCUCUCCGUGCCGAAGCUAACGCUUUAAGUAUCCCGGCCUGGGGAGUACGGUCGCAAGACUAAA
rnacentral:rRNA from 1 species